rnacentral:rRNA from 1 species
GACGAACGCUGGCGGCGUGCUUAACACAUGCAAGUCGAACGAUGAUGCUCCAGCUUGCUGGGGUGGAUUAGUGGCGAACGGGUGAGUAACACGUGAGUAACCUGCCCCCUUCUUCGGGAUAAGCUUGGGAAACUGGGUCUAAUACUGGAUAUUCUGCAAUUGUCGCAUGGUGGUUGUGGGAAAGAUUUUUUGGUGGGGGAUGGGCUCGCGGCCUAUCAGCUUGUUGGUGGGGUGAUGGCCUACCAAGGCGUCGACGGGUAGCCGGCCUGAGAGGGUGACCGGCCACACUGGGACUGAGAUACGGCCCAGACUCCUACGGGAGGCAGCAGUGGGGAAUAUUGCACAAUGGGCGCAAGCUUGAUGCAGCGACGCCGCGUGAGGGAUGACGGCUUUCGGGUUGUAACCUCUUUCGAUGGGGAACAAGGCCAUAUUUUUGUGUGGUUGAGGGUACCUGUAGAAGAAGCGCCGGCUAACUACGUG